rnacentral:lncRNA from 1 species
CCAGUUCCACCCCUAACCACAGGGUAUUAAAGUGAGGAAGUGCGAAACCAUAUGGUACUAACUUGAUACACUUUAAAUCACAUAGUACUAAAGUGAGAAAGUGCGAAACCAGAAGGUACUAACUUGAUACACCUUAAACCAUAGGGUACUAAAGUGAGAAAGUGAGAAACCACGGAGGGUAUUUGAAGUUUUCCCUUUUAAAAAUCUAUU